rfam:Mustela putorius furo unplaced genomic scaffold scaffold00053, whole genome shotgun sequence.
GCCUGGGUGGCUCAGUGGGUUAAGCUUCUGCCUUCAGCUCAGGUCAUGAUCUCAGGGUCGUGGGAUCGAGUCCCGCAUCGGGCU